UAAGCAGCUUACACGUAUCGUGGCUAGCUGUGACUCAUGACGCCAUUAAAAUUACAAUCAUGCGAGACGUGGAAAAGUAGAUAUAAUUUUUAUCGUCCGUCACUUCAAACGAUAAAUACCGAUCGUAAAACAGAAACUGCUUUCGGUACAUAAAUACUCACUUGAAAAUUAUUGGAACUAACUGCGCAUUGGCUGUGUCAGACCAGCGUAUCUUCAAGUUGGCACAAACCACCCAAUAAUCAAUAUCGAAUGCUCACCGACAGAAGCCCUGAGGCAGUUCCCCGCUGCCGUACAUCGGCCAAAGGAACGGCGUGUUCCCAUAGCGGCCGAGACUCAUCAGGAACUUCUUGCAUUCCCUAACACCCUCCAGACACGGCAUAGCGUCAGAACCGCCGGCGAUAGCGUACAACACGUAGUGGAUCAGAUUCGGUGUCAGACCCUUGUGAGUCAGGUAGUCCUUGAAGGAUUUGUCGGUCCAAUCUGAUAGACAAUACGUAUGCAAUUAAAACGUCAAUGCAAAAUUGUCGUUCACGAGAUCCACAGAAAAUCGGCUUAUUUCAUUUUAGGUCUAAGAUGACUUUAAAUUGUAGAAAAUAAACUAUGUCCCAGGAAGAAACUGGGAAAAGAUUCAGUAUCGGAACCGGUUGGUUAAUUCAUAAACCGUUCUGAAUCAGUACCCAAUGAGCUAAUAGUACGUACCCUUAAAUUCAUUGUCCAUCUCUUCUUCAUUGUACCCUACGAUGGAAGUGAGCAUUUUCAUGAGCAUCCUCUUCUCCACGAUGCUGACAGCCUCCGUAGCGAACACGUCAGCCCGGGAACAGGGGACAGGAUUCAACUUGUCAUUGAGCCAAGUGAGAACACGUGUCACGCAACGGAACUCAGCAUAACGAGCAAUAUUCGAAGAUAUUAGGAGCUCCACUAA